CGAUACGAGUUGAUCCUGGCUCAGAUUGAACGCUGGCGGAAUGCUUUACACAUGCAAGUCGAACGGCAGCACGGGGGCAACCCUGGUGGCGAGUGGCGAACGGGUGAGUAAUACAUCGGAACGUGCCCAGUCGUGGGGGAUAACGUAGCGAAAGCUACGCUAAUACCGCAUACGAUCUACGGAUGAAGGCGGGGGAUCGCAAGACCUCGCGCGAUUGGAGCGGCCGAUGGCAGAUUAGGUAGUUGGUGGGGUAAAGGCUCACCAAGCCUUCGAUCUGUAGCUGGUCUGAGAGGACGACCAGCCACACUGGGACUGAGACACGGCCCAGACUCCUACGGGAGGCAGCAGUGGGGAAUUUUGGACAAUGGGCGAAAGCCUGAUCCAGCCAUUCCGCGUGCAGGAUGAAGGCCCUCGGGUUGUAAACUGCUUUUGUACGGAACGAAACGGCCUUUUCUAAUACAGAGGGCUAAUGACGGUACCGUAAGAAUAAGCACCGGCUAACUACGUG
rnacentral:rRNA from 1 species